rnacentral:tRNA from 1 species
GCGGACGUGGUGGAACGGUAGACACACAGGACUUAAAAUCCUGAGGCGGAAACGCCGUGUGGGUUCGAGUCCCACCGUCCGCACCA